rnacentral:piRNA from 1 species
UCCUGUGGCCUUGAUUCAGAUUAGCUGUG